rnacentral:tRNA from 1 species
GCGGCGGUGGAGGAACGGCAGACUCGAUGGCCUCAAAAGCCAUUGCCCGAGAGGGCGUGUGGGUUCGAAUCCCACCCGCCGCA